AUUGAACGCUGGCGGCAGGCCUAACACAUGCAAGUCGAGCGGAGCGGCGGACGGGGGAGUGAUGGCAAGGACUCUGCCUGGUCGUGGGGGAUAACGACCGCAAACGGGAGCUAAUACCGCAUACUAUCACAUGAGGCUAUGUCGGAUUAGCUAGUUGGUGGGGUAAGGGCCCACCAAGGCGACGACCCGUAACUGGUCUGAGAGGAGGAGCAGCCACACUGGAACUGAGACACGGUCCAGACUCCUACGGGAGGCAGCAGUGGGGAAUAUUGGACAAUGGGCGAAAGCCUGAUGCAGCCAUGCCGCGUGUGUGAAGAAGGUCUUCGGAUUGUAAAGCACUUUAAGUGGGGAGGCGUUACCAGCAGAAGAAGCACCGGCUAACUUCGUGCCAGCAGCCGCGGUAAUUC
rnacentral:rRNA from 1 species